GACGAACGCUGGCGGCGUGCCUAAUACAUGCAAGUAGGACGCAGUUGCGAACGGGUGAGUAACGCGUAGGUAACUGCCUAUUAGAGGGGGAUAACUAUUUGAAACGAUAGCUAAUACCGCAUACUAGUAGAUGGACCUGCGUUUUAUUAGCUAGUAGGGUGGGUAAUUGCCUACCUAGGCAACGAUACAUACCCGACCUUAGAGGGGGAUCGGCCACACUGGGACUGAGACACGGCCCAAACGUCCACGUGAGGCAGCAGGAGGGAAUCUUCGGAGAUGGGGGGAACCCUGACCGAACAACGCCGCGGGAGUGAAGAAGGUUUUCGGAUCUUAAAGCUCUGUUGUUAAGGAAGCGGUACUUAACCAGAAAGGGACGGCUAACUACGUGCCAGCAGCCGCGGUAAUUC
rnacentral:rRNA from 1 species